CUGGGCCUAGCGCUGUACCAUCGGAACUCCCAGCGACUUCCCCCGCCGCCGCCGCCGUCGCAGUCAGCCGCGACGAGGCCGCCCUCGUAUGCUGCGCGGCCCUGCUCUCCAGCCAAGGACGAGACCCACGUCGCCGCCGACCUCACUCAGGAGGCUCCUAACCGGGUCCUCCAAUCUUGCUGCCGGAGCUGGAGGAGGCGCGUCCGCCAAGAUGCCCGCCGCUCAACGCUCCCGUCAGGCUGAGGAAGUGGGACGCCGCUGCUGCUGAAACCGGCGAGGGGAAGGAGGAGGAGGAGGCUCUGAUCGUGUGGUCAGCGCACUGGAUGUGCAAGCUGGCCACAAGCCUCGUGUGUUGAGCGCACUCGAUGUGCGUCCCCCGGUGGAGGCUCUGCGCGAGGACCAUUGCUGACGCUGAGCUAUCGGAGAGGCUCGCAGCCAGCAGCAGCUCAUCGGAGAAAUCGUGUGGAUUCUGCAGUGGUUACGGAUUGGGGAAAACAAAGCUGACGCUCUUAUUUGAUCCUAGAUGUCCCAAAUUGGAGUCUGUUGUGGAUAAAGUGAAGGAAGCUAUGGGGAGCGUAAAAUUCCCAAGGGAACACGUGACUUUGGGGCUGAUCAAAUGGCCAUAAGGCGGCAUGCGCUUCCGAUAAUAACAAGUGUAUUUGAGCUGAAACUGAUAGACCAGAGGACCGGCGCUACAAGUUCUGCUAGAAUUGAGAAAGGAGGGUAGCAAGUUUAUCGACAACGACGAGGCUGUUGUUGCGUUGAAUGAGCUGGAGAUAUGAAAAAGCAAAUGCGAUCGACAGGAUAAGUUUUGAUUUAAUUGAGCUUUGCUCUCUGCGGUAUGAUCUGACUUAUUGCAGAGACAUCCAAUCAAUUGAUUGCUCAUGGCUGUAUAUUGACACGCUAUGCAUGCAGUGGUAGUAACUACUCUGUUUCUUGGCAGCAGAUCAUAUUGACACUUUGCAUCCUUUCGUUCUGUCGGCCGAGGCGAGACCAUAUAUCAUCAAUCAAGAGGAGAUAACUGCCAAGAAAAAGGAAAGAAAUACAAGUGUGAAGAAAUGCCCCAACUUAUUUAAGUUCAUAAAAGUGAGAAAAAAAGGUGUUACACGAUUGUCGUGACUAGUUUGGUGUUUAUUUAUGCUUUGAUACAUUACGUAGUUGCUCCCAUAUUUAUUUUUCCAAAACUAAGGUGAUAUUUACCUUUUCCCGCAAAAAAGGUGAUAUUUACCAAAGAAAUGUUAAUUUGGGCUGUACUUCGUUGGUGGUAACAGGCUAGACAUCUAUGUAUUAGAAUGAUAUUGAUAGAGGAAAAGCAUGGACGGCAGAAUGAUAUCGAUACAACACGUAGAGUGAUAUUGAUAUUGGUGAGGUCGAUUAUUACACAAGAGAACUAGAGGCAGGAAAUUGCACUAUGGGUUUUGGCUUAACUACUGUCGCUGUAAUCAAUCAAUGUGCAUUUUUUGUGCCAUUAAUGUGUCCAGGUGCACUUAGGCCACCCAUACUAGACCUUGGAAAAGAAGAUCCUCUCAAAAGGCCAAGAGUACACAUGCAAUUUUUUCACAUAAGUCGCUUUGGAGUAUCUUAGAUAUAGUAUGUGAACAUACUAAAAAUAAUAAAGUAGACUAUAUACUACCACAUGGUAGUAUAUGAGAAAUGGGUGUAACUACACCCGGUAGUAGGAUGCAUUUUUCCUAUAUAUAUAUGCAGUUGUACUAAGUUUCUUAUUGGUAACAAAUUGAAGUUCAGUUAUAAAAGUUGCACCAGUAUUUCAAACUAUUAAUCUUUUGGUGUUUAGUUAGCAAGGCUCCACUAGUUGCAUAACUUACUUGUGUUUACUUAUUUUCUGAAAAAACUCACAUUUUCCAGCCACCAUGGUACAUACUUAAAGAAUGAAAUUGUCAUGCUAAACAACGUGAAUUUUUUAUCAUAGCUUUACUACAUUUCUUGGUGCUAUUUUUUCUAUAGAUUUGUACCUAGAUUUACAUUUCCUAUUAGUUAACCUGGUGUGUGUGGGACAUGGAGUUUUUUAGCCCGAGCUCAAAUGAGCUUGGUUGAACAGUAAAAUCGAAAAAAUACUGAAACAAAAUUCAAAAAUUUCUGAAAUUUUUUAGUGACAAACACUGACAAAAGUUUGCAUCACUUGGAAACUUUCAUCGUGAAAUGAGCUCGGCUUCUACAAAUGUCAUUGAUGAAGCUUUGCAAGCGUUGAAAACUUUUGUCAAUGUUUGUCACUAAUUUUUUUCUGAAAUUUUCCCUUUUUGAAAUAUUUUUCGAUUUUACUGCUCAUUUGAGCUCGGGACUAGAAGAGUACUUUCAGUGUGUGGAUGGGUUAUAUAGGAAAUUAGGAAGUGAGAAUAUGGUAAGAUUGAGUAGUCUGAGAUUCAUCCAGGUGUUGUAAAGUUCAUUAAAAUUUGGGAAAAUCCAAACACGUGAUGGAUAUACAAUGAUUACUAAUUUAGGAAAAGCAAAGGAAUAACUUAGAGGUACCUCCUUCCAAUCAGGCGCUUUUUGAGUUCUUCAACAAGUUGGUCAUGGUUCAUUGUCUCUAGCUUAGUCUGCAUCCAGUGGGAGCUACCAUCAUUGCUUUGCGUCCUGUGACCAGAGAGCAGUGGCACAAUUCGUUUCACUGAGCUUUUAAUGUCUGCCACUAGGUUUUUCUUCUCCAACUUCCCUGUGUUGCUGCCCUCCUGCCCCUCCUUUGGCUUGGUUUGACUGUCUACUGGUUUGAUUUGCCCAAGAACACCCCUCAGGACUUCAUCUUCAUCGAAGUUCUGAGACACUGUGACUGAUGCUCGACAGUCAAAUCCAUUCCCGAAAUCUUGGUACAAUGCCAUGGCAAUGGUGGUCUUUCCCACACCCCCGAAUCCAAUCAAGGACAAAACAGCUCGAUGAGAGCCUUUAUCACGUUUGGUUAGCCAAACCCCGAGCUUCUCCAUGUCGACCACCACUCCCACUGGAUUCUCUGUGCGGAUGAGCUGACGGCUCGCCAUCAGAUGCUCAGCAAUGACAUAUGUAACAGCAUGGUUUUUUUCGGCCCUAGAGCCGCUUCUUACUGGGUUGUCCACUCCAUAUCUGCUGCGCCGCUCAGCAAUGUGUUGUGCCCGGAUCUUGAGCUUAGAAAUCUUGGAAGCAAUGUCGCGGCGAGGCCAAAAUGUCCACACCUCGUAAACUGCCGUCAUGAUGAAGGAGCAUCUUGCAUCGGUGAGGGAGUCUUGAGGGAGGCGAUGAGCAAAGUCAUCGACGCAGUCUUCCAUGUCGUAUGCCAUGUCACGGAUCUGCUUCAUCCAACUCUUGAGCCGGCGAUCAUGGUCGUCCAGGGCAGAACCAAGGUCGCCCAGAAAGGCCUGCAUGGUGGCGAGCUCAUCAUUGAUGUAUUGGAUGUCGCCGCGGACGCCACGGAUCAGCGAGUACUCUUGGGCAAGGAGGUUGCCCAACUUGCAUAGGAGAGACCUCAUGGUGGCUUCCGAAGCUCCUACUACAAACUCCAUCUUCUGCUUCUGUGCGCUCUUCUCUUCACUAGUACAAUUUGUCCCUCCUGUUGUCCCAAGUGCAAAGACAGUUCACGCCCACUUCCUGCUCAGAUCAGGCAGUUGCUGAUUGCUAGAAGGAACAGAAAAAAAACAAGAGAUAAUGUCACCAUGCAUGAAUCAUGGCUAGAAAAAACAAUUAAAUACAAAAAGGCUCCACGUGUGUAGUGAGGCCAGGGAACCAUUCUUGGUGAAUAUCAAUUUGUCCCCAAUCAAGGAACCUAUACAAACAAAAGUUAUAUAGAUAUCACUGCUAGAUACUGUACAGCCAUUUUUUGUAUGCAUAUAUCACGACUUACAGAAUUGGCUAAUCAAAAUAU